GGUAGUUUCUGGGACCCCACAGGCCCCUCAUACCUCAGGGGAGAACACACCUCGCAGCUAACAGCUGAUCUGGCUAAUUACCGUCUUGGAGCUGGGGUCCCCGUGGGCGGGUGACGAGGGUCUCCCACCUCCUGUCUGAGUUCAGCUGCAGGUGCCCGGGAAUCUGAGCCUGUGCGCGGGUGUGAGCUGCCUGCCUACCUCUGAGCAGAUUACACCUUCCAGAACAGGGACCCGCGCUCCAGAGCCGAGGCGGGACAGGAGAGUGGAAGGCAACCUGGUGGGCGGAGUGCUUCCAGACCUACCUGGAGGGCACCUGCCUGGAAUCGAUCCAUAGAUCCCUGGAGAACUGAAAGGAGACCUGAUUCAUGCAGAGGGGGAGAGUUCAAUGUGGGAAGCUCACUCCACCAUGAUGCUGACGUCACCCUGGGAAGCAAUUCUUUAAUCACAGCGGUUGCAAACACAUUUUGAGCCACCGUUGAACAUCUCACCUGCCAGCAACAGAGAUUAAUGCUGAGCCCACAAUAUGGCAAUAUUCUCUGAGAACACAAAGCAGCUACUUGAUG